rnacentral:rRNA from 1 species
CAGUAGCCACGGGAACACAGAGGGUGCAAGCGUUAAUCGGAAUUACUGGGCGUAAAGCGCGCGUAGGUGGUUUGUUAAGUUGGAUGUGAAAUCCCCGGGCUCAACCUGGGAACUGCAUUCAAAACUGACUGACUAGAGUAUGGUAGAGGGUGGUGGAAUUUCCUGUGUAGCGGUGAAAUGCGUAGAUAUAGGAAGGAACACCAGUGGCGAAGGCGACCACCUGGACUAAUACUGACACUGAGGUGCGAAAGCGUGGGGAGCAAACAGGAUUAGAUACCCGGGUAGUCCCUGUCUCUUAUAC